rnacentral:rRNA from 1 species
AUUGAACGCUGGCGGCAUGCUUUACACAUGCAAGUCGAACGGCAGCGCGGGCUUCGGCCUGGCGGCAAGUGGCGAACGGGUGAGUAAUGCAUCGGAACGUGCCCAGUAGUGGGGGAUAGCCCGUCGAAAGCCGGAUUAAUACCGCAUACGACCUGAGGGUGAAAGCGGGGGACCGAAAGGCCUCGCGCUAUUGGAGCGGCCGAUGUCGGAUUAGCUAGUUGGUGGGGUAAAGGCUUACCAAGGCGACGAUCCGUAGCUGGUCUGAGAGGACGACCAGCCACACUGGGACUGAGACACGGCCCAGACUCCUACGGGAGGCAGCAGUGGGGAAUUUUGGACAAUGGGGGCAACCCUGAUCCAGCCAUGCCGCGUGCGGGAAGAAGGCCUUCGGGUUGUAAACCGCUUUUGUUCGGGAAGAAAUCCUCUGGGCUAAUACCCCGGGGGGAUGACGGUACCGGAAGAAUAAGCACCGGCUAACUACGUG